CCUACGGGAGGCAGCAGUAGGGAAUAUUGCUCAAUGGGGGAAACCCUGAAGCAGCAACGCCGCGUGGAGGAUGAAGGUUUUCGGAUUGUAAACUCCUUUUGUUAGAGAAGAUAAUGACGGUAUCUAACGAAUAAGCACCGGCUAACUCCGUGCCAGCAGCCGCGGUAAUACGGAGGGUGCAAGCGUUAUCCGGAUUCACUGGGCGUAAAGAGCGCGUAGGCGGGGUAGCAAGUCAGAAGUGAAAUCCUGUGGCUUAACCAUAGAACUGCAUUUGAAACUGUCAGUCUAGAGUAUGGGAGAGGUAGGUGGAAUUCUUGGUGUAGGGGUGAAAUGCGUAGAGAUCAAGAAGAAUACUCAUUGCGAAGGCGGCCUGCUGGAACAUAACUGACGCUGAUGCGCGAAAGCGUGGGGAGCAAACAGGAUUAGAUACCCGGGUAGUC
rnacentral:rRNA from 1 species